GGCCUGGUGGUGAAAUGCAUCACACCCACCUCUCUUUCGCAAUACCUUGUGCAAUUAAAGUUAUGUGGGAGUCCCUGGUUCAAUUCCAGGCCAUGUCG